GCCUCCCCUCCAGGGCCGGGUGGGGUGGGGCUGGCCAGGGUGUGACCACCGUGCCGGGCAGCAGGCUCCAGUCCCUAACCCCCAGCCACUACUGGCAUAAGGGGUCCCUCAGGGCCCCCAGGCCUCCUCUACGUCCCACACCUCCUCCUCUGCCUGUUCUGCCUCCUCCCACCGCUGCUCCAAUACGCAGCCGGGCAGAGCCAGAUGCCCAAAGACCAGCCCCUGUGGGCACUUCUGGAGCAGUACUGCCACACCAUCAUGACCCUCACCAACCUCUCAGGCUCAGGCUUGCCACUGAUAAUGAAGGGCUUGGCUGGGAGGCCACUCCCCAUUCCCAGCUCCCACGAUGGAAGUCAGCUGGGCUGGCAUUCAGGAGUCCAAGAAGGGGAUGACCCCUCAGCUUUCCAACUCCAGGGAAACUGGCAGAAGGUGCUAAACAUUCUCUGGUUGCCAUGGCUACAGGUGUGACUUCCUGGCUAGUCUUGAAUUCCUGUGCUCAAGCAAUCUGCCUACCUUGGCUUCCCCAAGUGCUGAGAUUAUGGGUGUGAGCCACUGCACCUGGCCAAGAAUCCGAAUGGAUUCAAAGAUACCUUGAAAUAAUUCCUCAAUGCAACACACACACAUAUGCCAGGGUUGGUCAAAUGGGAGAGAGCCUUGGCCUGAAGACAGGGACCUGGGCUUU
rnacentral:sRNA from 1 species